AGCAAUACCUGAGACCGGCGCACGGGUGCGUAACGCGUAUGCAAUCUACCUUUUACAGGGGAAUAGCCCAGAGAAAUUUGGAUUAAUGCCCCAUGGUAUUAUAGGAUCGCAUGGUUUUAUAAUUAAAGUUCCAACGGUAAAAGAUGAGCAUGCGUCCCAUUAGUUAGUUGGCAAGGUAACGGCUUACCAAGACGAUGAUGGGUAGGGGUCCUGAGAGGGAGAUCCCCCACACUGGUACUGAGACACGGACCAGACUCCUACGGGAGGCAGCAGUGAGGAAUAUUGGACAAUGGGCGCAAGCCUGAUCCAGCCAUGCCGCGUGCAGGAAGACGGUCCUAUGGAUUGUAAACUGCUUUUGUACGGGAAGAAACACUCCUUCGUGAAGGAGCUUGACGGUACCGUAAGAAUAAGGAUCGGCUAACUCCGUGCCAGCAGCCGCGGUAAUACGGAGGAUCCAAGCGUUAUCCGGAAUCAUUGGGUUUAAAGGGUCCGUAGGCGGUUUUGUAAGUCAGUGGUGAAAUCUGGCCGCUCAACGAUCAAACGGCCAUUGAUACUGCAAGACUUGAAUUACUGGGAAGUAACUAGAAUAUGUAGUGUAG
rnacentral:rRNA from 1 species